UGAAGAGACCUUUGAUGACGAGUCUAACGGGUUCGCCCGGGUGACGAGACAAACCAAAUUAUACCAUUCAUGCCAACUGA
rnacentral:snoRNA from 1 species